GAAGUGCGAUUAAAAAAGACUCUACAAACUCUUACACCACCUAAAAGACUCAAAACUACUAGACAAGAUAAUAAAGUAAAAGAAAACAUGAAAACAGACUCAAAAUAUAAAAAGUCUCUUCAAACAAGCUCCCAAAUGCGAUGGUCCCGGGGUAUCUAUCAUGCUCGCGCUCUGAUAUAUGGAUCCAUGUCUGAAUGAGAAAAAUAAUACCAAAUAGAUUAGUGACUCAAGACACUAUGCGAUUCCACGACACCUUCUAUUGGACACAUGCAAGGCAUGAUUAAGGCUAUUUUUGCAAAAUAACCUACGUGACCAAAAUGUGGCUAGAAGUGCAAACUCAACAAGGGUGACCACUCAGAUUUUGAAAAAUAUCUCAAAAGGCUUAUGUGGCUUCAAACUCCCAAUAAUCAAUGGCCCUAGAUAUUACUUUGCAAAAGUAACCCAUUUUGCAAACAUGGCCGAUGUGGCCAAAUGCAACUACAGAUGCAAUUUCAACAUGGAUGGGCCUUAAAGUAAUAUGACACCUAAUUUUGGACUCAAGAUUCUACGAACAUGGGUCAUUGAACAACUUUUGUGAAAAUGAUCCCAUUUCGCAAGAAUUGUCGAUGUGGCCAAAAGUGGCUAGACAUGCAAAUUCAACAGGAAUUAACCUUAGAAUUGAGAGGACAUCAUGUUGUAGACUUAGGGCUCUAAGACAUAGGAUAACAAACUACUUUGAGAAAACGUCCCUAUUUUGCAAAAAGGGCUGAUGUGGCCAAAUGUGGCUAAACACGCAAGAUUUGGUUACGACCCCCAAAGCCAAGAACUUAUGACUAACUAGGAAGACCAGACCCUAUAUGAGCUUCCUACGUAUCCCGUUCCAAAAGACGAGAAUCAGGUAUGCGUAGUUCGGAAAGAUUGACCAAAAUUGAAAAGACUUACAAAAGGGUCAAUUAGACUUGAAAAGUGAGUUGCUUCUUUUUUGAUUAUUUGUAAAAAUGGUGUGAAGGUGUAAAAUCAUUUUGGAAUUUUCUUUCAUUUUUUAUUUUUUUCUUCUUUUUUUUGUGUGAAAAAACUAUGAAAGAAAAACAAAAGUGGACCCUACUUGCUUUAUUUUUAUACUUCACCCUCUUUUUUUCUCAUUUGUACUCAACAAACAUUGGUACGCCAAUGACCAUUUUACCCUUAAAGAAUGCAUCAUGUAACACAUGGGGAUGAUUAAUUGUCUUUUUGGGCCACGAGCCCGUUUUGACAUAAUUUGGAUAGACCUCCAAUAAAGGGAUAUGGUGACUGGGACCGAACCCUGCUAAGUGUAAAUGACAUAAUGCAAAUAAGCAUGACCUAAAGGCUAACCUAAGUUUGUGGUUCGCUAGACAAGGCAAUUCGGGGUGUCACGUGGUCGAUGUCGGCUGCUCUAGCUGUCCACCCACUCCACGCUCCCACGCCACCCUCUAAAGACACAGAUGACUCACAAAAAGGCCGUGUACGCUCAAACGUACUCCGAAAGACUUGGUGUAGAAGGAAAACCCGGGGUUAUGCAAAUGAUGACAGUUUAUAAAGCAGUAACACAUAAAGGAAGAGCCGUAAACAAAUAAGCAACUAGCAAAUAAUAAAAGACAUAAACAAAAUAAAAAAAAUAAACACAUAAAAACCUUAACCGAAUAUUCUAAAAAAUCAACAAGAUCAAGUAUCAGCUCGGACCUACAAUUCCCCAGCAGAGCCGCCAGAGCUGUCACACCCCUUUUGUUCACCUCAUUAACCCCUCUUUAAAAUAAAUAAAAAGAUUUGGAAUCUCCAGAGGGUUUUAAAUUAGAAAAGUGACAAAAAGUUGUGGUCAAAAGGAUUUUUCAGAGUCUCCACCUGACAUUGGUUUUGGUGUGCCAGGUCACCGUUUUUAAAAAUGGUUUUUUCUUUUAAAACACUUUGGAUUCCAAAACUAAGUUUGCACUAGAGAUUCGAGAAAGGGGGUUCAUUUGACUCGGGGAGAAGGUGUUAGGCACUCCCUAUGUCCCAUAACUAGUACGGUUGCGUAGUUGGCUUUUUUAAAUAUUUGAAUUCAGGUAAAAACACACAAAAGAAGACAAACACAAAAAGGAGGAACGAGAUCAUCCCUACCUAAAAAGGAAAAUAGAAAAAGAAAAGUAAAGUAAAAUCCUAAAUAUUAAUACAUAGUAUGCUUUUCCACGAGGUUCGCCAAAGCCUCAAAUACACGAUACUACGGGGCAUUCCCCCGGAAUAAAAUAUAUACAAAUCCUUCGGGGUAUUCUCCGGAUAAAUUUAACUAAUGGAAUGACCUCUCGCCUCAAAACUAACAAAAAUCCUAAGGCUUGCCUACCCAAUUGUGGUCAGCCUAAACAUGUUACUAGCGACUAAAGAUAAUAAGAAUAAAAUAGAAUGAUAUUAAGUUUGAUUCACAGUUUAUGACCCAGAGCCAAUUCUGAUUUUUAUGGAUUGUUUCCCAAACCCAGAACUGCAAAGUGACGCCAUUUUCAUUCAAACUAACCCUUUUAUGUUUUCAUUUUUUAAGUGUACAUAACAGAAGUUAUCAAAACAUAAUUCAACCAUUAAAAGACCAACUUAAACAAAAUAAUAGUGAAGAUGACCCAACAUUAGAAUCACAAUAGGUUCAAACUCACGGAAACACGAAAUAUAUUUAUGGAUGAAUAAAAAGGACGGAAAGAGAUAGACCUUUCUUUGACCUCGACAGACCGAAAAUGAAAACUUCACUGCGACUUUCAACCUCGAACUGCAACAUAGUUCGAAUCGGAAUUAACGUCAAAUAAUCUAAUUGCAGAGAAAUAGACAAAUCAAAUAAAAUAAAGGUCUAGAACACUUAUUGAUGAACCUAAGCUAACGGCAGAGUAGCAACAAUAGCAAAACAAUAAACUUCUUCAAAUCAAACCAGCUUUAAGAACCUAGAAAUUAUGCAGUAGUAGAUAGAAAUCAAAGACAAUUGUUCAAUCUCUUUUUUGAUUUUUUUUAUGCUUUUGGAGUUUUUGAUUUCCAGAUCUGAAAUUCAAAUUUUGAAUUCAAAAAUUGAUUUAGCUAAUUGGGACUGUGAGCUCUUUCGCAUAGGAGUGAGGAUGAGUGAGUCUGUAUGUGCGGAUGAGAUCACAACUAUUUUUUGGAGAUUUUGUUCUCCAUUUUUUGCUCUCUUUCGGGUGGUGUUGCUACUGAAGAAGAAGAGCCGUUGAUGGGUGGCCACUGGAAUUGGAGAUAGGGGUGGGAUUUUGGAGUGUAAGUCUGACGGAUUGGUGGUGUUAGGGUGGUCAUUUGGUGUGAGGUGAAGAAGCAGCAACAAUUGGAAUGGAGUUCAUUCGAGGAUGGAGUGACUGGUCGUUUGGAGGAAGGCAGUUGCACUCGGUGAGUGUGAGGAAGAUGAGCAGCGGUUGAAGGUGAAAGGUGUGGGGUUAUGGUGCGGCUAGAAGUUUUUCAUAUUAGGUUACUGAUGGCUGCGGAUUGGUAGUAUAAGGGUGGUGAGCUGCCGUUUGGAGAUUUUUGGGGGCCUUGGAGGAGAUGAGCUCUUAGGUCUGUCCCAAAAAAAAAAAGACCAAAUAAUAUGGGUAGAAGACCAAAUAAUACUGAUGGCUGAAGGGGUUUCUUAGUGUUAUUUUAAUUAGGAUUUAAGAGAGGAAUGGGUAAAU
rnacentral:lncRNA from 1 species